GACAGAGGUGCCGAGCGUUAGGCGGAAUCACUGGGCUUAAAGCGUGUGUAGGCGGAUCUGUAAGUACCUUGUGAAAUCCCACGGCUCAACCGUGGAACUGCUUGGUAUACUGUGGGUCUUGAGCCACCUAGGGGCAAGUGGAACAAACGGUGGAGCGGUGAAAUGCGUAGAUAUCGUUUGGAACGCCAAUGGUGAAAACAACUUGCUGGGGGUGUGCUGACGCUGAGACACGAAAGCCAGGGGAGCAAACGGG
rnacentral:rRNA from 1 species